CCUACGGGUGGCAGCAGUGGGGAAUAUUGCACAAUGGGGGAAACCCUGAUGCAGCGACGCCGCGUGAAGGAAGAAGUAUUUCGGUAUGUAAACUUCUAUCAGCAGGGAAGAAAAUGACGGUACCUGACUAAGAAGCCCCGGCUAACUACGGGCCAGCAGCCGCGGGAAUACGUAGGGGGCAAGCGUUAUCCGGAUUGACUGGGGGUAAAGGGAGCGUAGGCGGUUUAGCAAGUCAGAAGUGAAAGCCCGGGGCUCAACUCCGGGACUGCUUUUGAAACUGUUGAACUAGCGUGCAGGAGAGGUAAGUGGAAUUCCUAGUGUAGCGGUGAAAUGCGUAGAUAUUAGGAGGAACACCAGUGGCGAAGGCAGCUUACUGGACUGUAAAUGACGCUGAGGCUCGAAAGCGUGGGGAGCGAACAGGAUUAGAUACCCUUGUAGUC
rnacentral:rRNA from 1 species